rnacentral:rRNA from 1 species
GACGAACGCUGGCGGCGUGCUUAACACAUGCAAGUCGUACGGUAAGGCCCUUUCGGUGGUACACGAGUGGCGCACGGGUGAGUAACACGUGAGUAACCUGCCCACAACUUUGGGAUAACGCUAGGAAACUGGUGCUAAUACUGGAUAUGUGCUCCUGCUGCAUGGUGGGGGUUGGAAAGCUCCGGCGGUUGUGGAUGGACUCGCGGCCUAUCAGCUUGUUGGUGGGGUAGUGGCCUACCAAGGCGGCGACGGGUAGCCGGCCUGAGAGGGUGACCGGCCACAUUGGGACUGAGAUACGGCCCAGACUCCUACGGGAGGCAGCAGUGGGGAAGAUUGCACAAUGGGCGCAAGCCUGAUGCAGCAACGCCGCGUGCGGGAUGACGGCCUUCGGGUUGUAAACCGCUUUCAGCAGGGACGAAGCUUUUUGUGACGGUACCUGCAGAAGAAGCACCGGCUAACUACGUG